rnacentral:rRNA from 1 species
GACGAACGCUGGCGGCGUGCCUAACACAUGCAAGUCGAACGGGACCAGGGGCAACUCUGGUUCAGUGGCGGACGGGUGCGUAACACGUGAGGAACAUGACUUUCGGCGGGGGAUAGCCGGCCCAACGGCCGGGUAAUACCGCGUACGACCUGUUGGGGACAUCCCCGAUUGGUGAAAGCAGCAAUGCGCCGAAAGAGUGCCUCGCGGCCUAUCAGCUUGUUGGUGGGGUGAUGGCCUACCAAGGCGACGACGGGUAGCCGGCCUGAGAGGGCGACCGGCCACACUGGGACUGAGACACGGCCCAGACUCCUACGGGAGGCAGCAGUGGGGAAUCUUGCGCAAUGGGCGAAAGCCUGACGCAGCGACGCCGCGUGAGGGAUGACGGCCU